rnacentral:rRNA from 1 species
AACGAACGCUGGCGGCAUGCCUAACACAUGCAAGUCGAACGAGACCUUCGGGUCUAGUGGCGCACGGGUGCGUAACACGUGGGAAUCUGCCCUUUGCUUCGGAAUAACAGUUAGAAAUGACUGCUAAUACCGGAUGAUGUCGAAAGACCAAAGAUUUAUCGGCAAAGGAUGAGCCCGCGUAGGAUUAGGUAGUUGGUGGGGUAAAGGCCUACCAAGCCGACGAUCCUUAGCUGGUCUGAGAGGAUGAUCAGCCACACUGGGACUGAGACACGGCCCAGACUCCUACGGGAAGCAGCAGUGGGGAAUAUUGGACAAGGGGCGAAAGCCUGAUACAGCAAUGCCGCGUGAGUGAUGAAGGCCUUAGGGUUGUAAAGCUCUUUUACCAGGGAUGAUAAUGACAGUACCUGGAGAAUAAGCUCCGGCUAACUCCGUG